UACGAAUGGAGCGAGCGUUGUUCGGAAUCACUGGGCGUAAAGGGUGCGCAGGCGGUCAUGAAAGUCAGAAGUGAAAGCCCAGGGCUUAACCCUGGAAUUGCUUUUGAAACUCCAUGACUAGAGUAUUGGAGAGGUUAGCGGAAUUCCGAGUGUAGAGGUGAAAUUCGCAGAUAUUCGGAGGAACACCAAUGGCGUAGGCAGCUAACUGGACAAUUACUGACGCUCAUGCACGAAAGCGUGGGGAUCAAACAGG
rnacentral:rRNA from 1 species